AGCAUAUUAGCAGACCAGAGAAAGGGAGGUAAGUGAAGUUAAGUUAAACAUCUACACUCCUAAAUCAGUAAAUAAAAUUAUGAGUUUGGUGUAAGGUGCAUAUUCUUAAAGGAGACAUUUCACAAGACUUUUUUAAGCUGUCAAAUAAAUCUUUGGUGUCCCCAGAGUAAGUAUGUGAAGUUGUUUUGUGUCCUUUUAAAUAAGAAAGAAGUGAUCAUGCACUAAAUGGCAGUGCCGUGGUUGGAUAGUGCAAAUGAAGGGGCUGUGUUAUUCCCGUCUGACAUCACAAGGGGAGCCAAAUUUCAAUGACCUAUAUUUUCACAUGCUUGCAGAGCAUUUCUAGUUUUUUUUUACCAUUUUCUAGGUUGAUAGAAGCACUACGGACCCUAUUAUAGCACUUUAACAUGGAAAAAGUCAAUUUUACAUGAUAUGUCCCCUUUAAACAUACUAGUCACAAUGCAAUGUUCGAAAUAGCAUACUACCAUACGAUCUGUAGUACUUUUGCAGUAAAUACUAUGUAUACUGUGCAAAGGAGGACAUUGACAUAUAUUUGAGAUUCAUGUUUGCUGGUUAUAUAUUAAUAAUAUAAAUAUAUUGUAUUUAAUGUUUACAAGUAUGUUAUGUUUAAAUAUGAAUAAAUUUACUGUGAAUUUACAAGGAAACCUCUCACUGAAUUAUAAUAUGGUUUAGAACUAGCAUACUAAAGCAGAUUACUGUUUGAAAAAGUAUAUUUUUUGUACUUAGUGUACCGUAUUACAUGCUAAAAUAUACAGUAGUAACUAGUAUGCUAGUAUUCCAUUUCAAACAUAGACAGUGAAUAAAUCAGACAUACCCAGCGGGCAUAUGACCGACCUUCAACGUUGAAAUUUGGUUGAAAUUAGGUCAGGUGUUUGUUCAACGUUGAAACAACGUUGAAACAACGGUGAAUGGUAAACGGUUGAAAAAGGUUAAUAAAAUGCUUAAAAAUCAACGUUGAAAUUUGGUUGAAAUAAUGUCAGUUGUUUGUUCAACGUUGAUUCAACGUUGAAACAACGUUGAAACAACAGUGAAGUAAAUGGUUGCAGAGAGACAAUAAAAUAAUGUUUUAUAAUAUGUGAAUCAUUCAGAAAAAAAAUGUAAAAACUCAUUUUAUAAAAUUGAUGAAAUUAUACAAAAAUGUAACAAAUAAUUGAAUAUACAGGUAGCGAGGUAAUCUCGCGAGAUUACACGAGACUGGACUGUUUUAACGGCUGUCUGGGAGAUCUUGCGUAUCACACGAGAAAAUGCUUCAGAGAAAGAAGAGAGUCCUUCAAAUUAGAAUAGUGAUGAUGAUCUUGUCAAUGCUGAGAUUUUCAUGCAUCAACAGCCACUACAUCUGGAUCAGAUUGAACAAGAAACAGACAGCAAGGGUUGUCAGGUCAGAAACAGAAUGACACACAAACACAAGAAACUUCACAGGCAUAUCAACAUGCAAUUUGAAGACGUGUGAUAAAAUACAGAGAGGUGAAGUAGUGUGUCUUUCCAGAUCCCCAAAUCAUUCCCCCUUAAAAGAUGAGCCUGAAGAGGAGAUUUGGGAAGAUGCUGUUUCAUAAGUCGCUUUGCCUGAUCACAUGUGGUCGGGAUGUCUGCUAACAAGAUGCCUUGCUGGUCUGGGCGAGUAUAAAGGCUUACACGGACAGUCCAGAGGUUCUGAAGUCCAUCUUCGAUCUCAUUGGUAAGGGACUAUACAAAAGGCUGUUUGACCCACACGUAAAGCAACCUGUCAGUGUUUGCUUUGUUAAGCAUCUCAUUUGGGGGUGUUGAAAAUAUAAAGUUAAAAUCACUUAAGCAUUCAGUACUGGAUUCAUUUGUAACCAAAUCGUUCAGAAGCACCAUUCACUUCCAUAGUAUUUUUUUAUCCUACUAUGUAAGUCAAUGGUGCUUCUGGUCAGUUUGGUUGCAGACAUUCCUUAAAAAAUCUUUGUGUUCAUCAGGACGAUUUAAGGUGUAGAAACAUCUCCGCAACCUCAAGAGAAAUUGGAGGCAACUGUGCUAAAUUGCAGAUGAUGUUGCAAAGGGUCUGAAUAUGUAUAAUGUAAAUAUGAUAUGUUUUCUUUUUUCAUACAUUUGCAAAAGUUUCUAAAAUUCUGUUUUUACUUUGUAAAAAUAUCUAAACAAUUACAGUAUCAUGCAACAACAUAAAAUUGAAAGUGAAAGGUGUAUGAUUUCUGAAUGGACUGUAGAUGAUCUUAAUUGUCAUCUUCCUAAACACAACAGCUUUGUUCCUUCAUCAGAUGGCUAUGCAAUGUUUCAAGUCAGACUAUCAAAGAAAACGCAUCUUGCCCUGAUGUGCAAUAACAAGAUUUUUUUGUACAUGGGCUAAAAUGCAGCAUUUUUUGAAAAUUAAAUAUCUUGUGUUUUUUCCCUCCUUAGAUGCUGUCAUCGUAUUAAGUACAGCAUGAGCCAGAAUGGAUGGGUGGUGGUGGCCAUAAGAAGACUGUCAACUU